GUGAAUCAUCGAAUCUUUGAACGCACGUUGCGCCCGCCGGCACUCCGGCGGGCAUGCCUGUCCGAGCGUCAUUUCAACCCUCAGGUCCCUCUUCGGGGGGAACCUGGUGCUGGGGAUCAGCGGCCCUCGGGCCCCUGUCCCCCAAAUACAGUGGCGGUCGCGCCGCAGCCUCCCCUGCGUAGUAGCACACCUCGCACCGGAGAGCGGCUCGGCCACGCCGUGAAAACCCCAUCUUUCAAGGUUGACCUCGGAUCAGGUAGGAAUACCCGCUGAACUUAAGCAUAUCAAUAAGCGGAGGA
rnacentral:misc_RNA from 1 species